rnacentral:rRNA from 1 species
UAACUAUCAGGGGUUAUUAUUUUGUUCCCCGAACCCCGGGUAAAUAUCCGGUGAUCCUUCAUGUGCCGGGUUACGGAUAUGGGUUUGACAACGGUAAGCCAUUCCUGAAUAUCAGGGACAAUGUUAUCGAUUUUGCUAUCUGUGUUCGCGGGCAUGGGAUCAGCGCCGAUGUGUUUCAUCCCGGAUUUGGUAUUCCUGGUAUCUGGGGAUAUAAACUUUGCAGCGAAAAGGACAAUGCGUAUCGUUCCAUCUAUAUGGAUUGCGUACGGGCAGUGGAAUUUUUGCUGAGCCGGCCGGAGGUCGAUACAAAUAAAGUAUAUGUGAUGGGUGGGAGCCAGGGAGGGGGAUUAGCAUUGGCAACUGCGGGUCUGUGUCGCGAUAAGAUCAAGGCGUGCGCCUUUUUCGACCCGUUUAUGACAGACACCCGUGAUCAGCUUAAAAUACGUACGGUGUGUAAUACAGAGAUCAAAUCUUAUCUGAAAUACUACAACGAUGAAUGUACUUUUGAGGAUGCCUUAAAAAUACAGGACCUCAUCGACACAAAAGGGUUUGCAGACCGGAUCGAGUGCCCGGUCUUUUUUACAACCGCGCUGUUUGAUGAUGAUUGCCCUCCCCAUAUGGGGUUUGCUGCCUCCCGUAGGAG